GGCGGAGGAAGAAGGCGCAGGCGCAGCAAUUGCUGAUUACUUGGUGGGAGGAGGGAGUAUUCCUCCCUUGUCCGGGAGCUAGGAGAACGGACGGGAAGCCGCGAGAUGAAACCUAGGGAUUCUCUUUCCUGUGCACUAGCUACAGAGCCGCGGUCUCUCUGGAAGUACAGUGAUUCAGGCGCGGUACUAACAGUUUAAAGUAUUUAAUUUUUGCAACCUAAUGAGAUGGUUACCCUCUUACUUUACGUUUUUCAAAAGAGGUGUACCACUCUCAAAUUUUAAUGAAAUAGAAGAAUAUGAACAAUAAAUGUCUGCUUAGGAAUGAAUUGUUGAGCAUAAAUUUUAUUCAAAUUCUGCUUUUGUAUGUGAAAGCAAUUACCGUAUUUGUUUAAAUGUCUUCUCCUCCAACUUCUGCGCCAACUGAGAAACCAAGUAAGAAAACUGAGUUACCUGAUUAAAUUUUCCAUAUUAUUUGACUUUGAAACAUAAGCCAAGGUAUCUUGCAGAAGUUCCUUGGAGAUUUUGAGAGGAUUGAUUAAUUUCAUGGCUAGACAUAUGGGUCUUUCUUUUUGGAAAAAAAAUUUUGAAGUUGCUUUCCCUUUCUGUGAUAGGCUCCAGAGAGUUAUAGGAAACUGGUAAAUGUGCUGUCCUCUGUUAAAGUCAUCAAGCUGACUUAUUUACCAGUAGAAAGCCUUAGCCAGGUCACAAGAUGGAACAUGAAAUGGGCUCUGGGACAGCUGCUUUCUCCUGCUAUGGGAUACAAGGUACAAAUCACCAAACUUGUAACAAAAAUGGAAAAGACAUUCUAAUCAUGAAUAACAUUUUAAUUUGGUUGACAGUCACACUAGUGUAAUACUAAUAUAAGUACUUCACAAGCACACAUAAAAUAACUUUGUUUUCUUAGAAUAGCAGCAAAAUUGUUUGUCAGUAUUUUAGAACUACCUUCUUUACCUCUGUUUUAUAGUAAUUAUGUCAUGUGCUAGAAAAGAUAGUUUGAACAUGGGAAGUUUGCUCCUAUUAUUCAAUGAUAUCCCCGAACACCACUUGAGAUGGAGAUUUGGCAUUUGUACCUGUAUCAUAUCAAGUUCCAUAAUGAAACUUGAUAACAGUAAAAGCCAGUAUAAUUGCCCAAUAUCUUUUUUUACUAUUUCCACAUAUCCCAAAUAUGACUACUGUUUUCCCCAAAUCAUUGUUUAUCUCUUAAAAAGAGUUCCCUCAUUCAAUCCCCUGUAUUAGAGCUGUUAUUCAAAUUCUGCUUCUGUUAUUUUAAUUAUUUUACAGUAAAUUGUUGUUUGGGCAAGAUAGAUUUUCCUGUAAUGAUACAGAAUACUUUUGGAUAGAACUAUUUUUCAGAUGUCAAAAGAAAUUUAAUGCUGAUUUAAUAAUUAUUUUUGGAACUUUGGUAUUGCAAGUGCUGUUGUUUAACAAAAGCCUUUAAAGAUAAUUUUUAAAACAAUUCUGUAAUUAUUUUAUUGUAUAGAUCAUAAAUACUCUCUUAAUAACGAAAACAUUUCUAAUCUUAGAUAAACAUAUAUUGUGGUUUGGGAUAAGAAUUUCAGUGACAGCAUUGGAAGUCCUAGGGGUCUCCAGCUACUUAGACAGAAAGAGAGGUAAUGUAAAAGAACUAGCAUCAGACAACCUGUACUGGUCCCUAGUGAUGGCAAAGCCACUGGUGCACAGUGAAGGUAAAAAUGAAGCAUUUGUACAUUGUGAAGUUAAUAACUACACAUACUGUGUGCCAGGCUCUACUCCAAGCAAUUUGCAACAUUUAACUCAAAUAGUCCUUCUACAACCCAGUGAGGUAGGUACUGUGUAACUCCAGUUUGACACAGGAAACUGUGAAGAUGGUAGGUAAUUUGUCAAGCAGCAUUAGGCUAGGAAAUACUAAACCAGACAUUUUUACUCAUACAAUCUGGGCCUUGAGUCCCUGUGCUAAACCACUGGGCAGCCUUGUUAUUGUGUUGUAAUGUGAAGGUGGGAAAGGCAUUAAUUCUAAUUAAUAUACUACUUAAUCUGAUGUGUGGUUAUGUGUAUUUUUAUAUGUAUAUAAGUUAAAAUUGCUAUUAGAUAUUUGACAUUUGCAUCUAAAUUCCCAUGUGUAUAUGUUCAAGUUUAUAAAAAUAUAUUUUAUAAUCUUUUUGCUGAGGAAAUGGUGGAUCAAUUUAUGUUUAAGUUCACCUUUUAUUAGUCCUGAUUUUAAUUAAUAUUGCAUAGUGUUUAAGUAUGCAAGCACUGGAGCUGUGUGGAUUUAUAUCCUUUAGCACUUAUUAGCCAUGGAUCUUUGGUAAUUUACUUAAACUCCUUGUGCUUCAAUUUUAUUAUCCAUAAAAACAAGAUAGUAGCAGUAUUCUUCUUGUAAAGUUGGUAGGAGAAUUAUAUGAGAUAAUGCAUGUAAAUGUUAUUGUCUAAGUACUAAAUAAAUGUUUGCAGUUGUUGUUAUUGCUGUAGUAUCAUAUAGCUAUAGAAACAAUAUGAUUUCAUCAGGAAUAAAAAUGGAAUUUUGAAAAUUUAUAAGGAUUAGGUUUGAACAAACUACUUCUAAUAUCAAUUACACAUAUUUACUGUUUCUUCUCCUGCAUAUUCUGUAUUGCUUUGUAAUUUCUUUUUUGAUACUGUAAAUUUUAUUAAAAAUAUACUUUUUUACCCUCUGUGCAAAAUUUGCCAUAGUUGACUUGUUUGCAUUGUCAGUUUUGCUGUCAUAAUUUUUGAUAGCAAACACUAUUGUUUUAAGAACUACCCAUAUAUUAGAAUAAUUGUAUUUGAAAACUGUGAACAGUGCUAUUUAUAUUUGAUGUUCUUGAUGUGUUUUGUGGUAUUUCGAACACUAAAGAAAAUAUUUUCUUGUUUCUUC